GAAUGACAGUUAAAGAACUGUAUUCAGAACAGUUCUCUGCUCACAGAUGCUCAAAAAAGGAAAAAAAAAGAGCUUAUUAACUGUGGCCCCACAAGUGUGACAAUUAUUAACUGUGGUCCUACAAGUGUGACAAUUAUAAAACAGUGAAUUUUCUGAGAUGAUCAAUCAUCUCACCUAUUGCCUACAUGUCAGUCUGAAGCAGGUGGAGGACUGGUCCUCUGUGUAAGACACACUGAGAAGGAAGAUUGUGUGGAAAAGAAUGUAAGAGAGAAAGAGAAUUCUUCAUACUCAAGCUCUGAUGGCUGUGUAACUGAGGCUACCGGCUCAACUGGACGAUUUGCAGCAGGAGGCACCCUUGUUGAUGAGGCUCCUAAAACAGUGGAUACGACUGGGCUGGACUUGAGAGGCUGAACAUUUUGCAUAACAGGACAAGAUAAAGAAUCUGAAACUGAAGACAAAAAAACUAUUUCAUUCACAGCAAUCAACUUUACAUCUAUUAAAAGCCAACAAAAUAUG